GGCUCAGAUCGACGCCAACGACGUCCGCCUCGCCAUCCAGGCCAAGGUCAAUUUCUCUUUCUCCCAGCCGCCGCCGCGCGAGGUACCAAUCGUACCUUAUUCUCAGUUUGGGCAAAUCAGUUGGCUUAUGUUUAUUUUCUUCUAUCCCCGCCAAAUCGUUGCUUUCUCCCUGGGUUGGUUUUGUACGGCCGAGUCCAUGAAACCUAAUUAUUUUGCUGCCCGUGUAGUUGAAACUAGAUUUCGAAUUAGUUUUGUUUUUGCUGGAUUAGUUUGGUCCCUGCUCAAUUCCGUUGAUAGAGAGAUGGAAAUGUCAAUAUACAACAUAGAUUCAGAUAUAUAUUCAGAAAGAGUUUAGAUACUAAAAGCCACAUAGAUCAGAGACAAUAACAUCCUAAUCCAAAACAUAACCAUUAAGAGAAGAUUCAGAAUUCUAAACUACUACAAAAAUUAAUUAUUCAUGUGUUGUAAUAAAUUCUUGAAGUUUCAAAAGCUGUGUCUUCAUGCAUUCUAAUGGUACUUAUCAUUCCUGUGCUGCAUUGCAGACUAUGGUGAUCUUUUUACUUCCUAUGUCUAUAACAAUUUUAGUUAUUAAAACCACUUUGGCCAUACACUAGGAUCAUAUUGGUCAAGAACUAGCUUUCAUAUGGGAAAAUGACAGCUAGUGCAUUGCAUGCUACAUAAGCUUUAAAUGGUUCAGUUUGAAAUUGAUUGCCACCCACCAGUUGCAUUUUAAAUUUGUAGAUGAUUAGAUGUAGAUAAUUCAUGAUUGAUACAUGUAGGAUUGAACACUGUUGCAUUAGGGUAUUGUAUUUUGUUUUUUAUUUCAGAAUCUUCAUUUUAUGCAUCUACAUAUGACAAGGCUAUUGACACUUUUUGUCCAGAUUCUUUGAUAAAAAACUCUGACUCACCAAUUCCUAUUGGUUCUGUUAAUUGACUAUCUGCUAUAAUAUUUUGAUCUGUUGAGAAGUUCAUACAAAGUACGGACCAACCUAUGAGCAGAACCAUAUAAUCAAGUGUUCCAUCUGACCAUUCAGUGAUAAAGUGAUGUUAUGGGUAUGAAGUGUUUGAGUGCUUCCUCACGACACCUAGUACUGAGUUUUAAGGUGCAUUUCUGGAAGGUUACAAUGUCGCAAACACAAUUGAUUUCUCCUUGCUUGUUAUGGGCAUCAGCGGCAUCACUAUGGAUAUUUAUUGCCUUAUGAGGGACAUGUUUAUAUUAAAUAAGCUAGCUCUUUCAGUUUUUCCCCUUUAAAUCAGAGCACCACAGUUUCAUAUUAGACAAAAGUGGACAGAAGGGCUAAUGUCAAAGAAAGACCUCAGAUUCUAUUCUUCUUUGGCCUAUUUGUUUGAUGCUGUGUUAUACUGUUAUUUUUUAGAACAAAACAACGUGAGCUGGAAAGAAUACUAAUCACAUGCUUUAGCAUUAGUAGUUAUCUGUGUCCUAAUAUGCCUUAGCAGUUAUCUGUGUCCCAAUAUGCUUUGAAGUUUGGAAAGCUGGUGGCACUAUAUUUAUUAUUUGGAGAUAACUUUUGGAGAGUUUGAAACUAACAUUUAGUUUCUGUCUGUAAGUGGAAUACUGGAAUAGUAGUACCAUUGAUUGUUUUAUGUUGUUUAAGCUUUUUCUUUAUUGUGCAGGUUAAUGAUGCCAUUAUAGUUGGAGACAAGCUUGUUUCCUGCUCCUCAGACACUACAAUAAAGGUGUGGAAUUGCUUCUCUGAUGGUGCUUGUACCAGGACUCUCCACCGGCAUUCUGAUUACGUGAUUUGUCUUGCUGCUGCUGAGAAUAAUAGCAAUAUUGUAGCCUCUGGUGGUCUUGGUGGUGAGGUUUUCAUUUGGGACCUUGAUGCUGCUCUUGCUCCUGUAGCCAAAUCUGUGGAUGCAAAAGAGGAUGAGGUUCCUAAUGGAAACUCCGGACCUGCUUUGACAACACUGUGCAGCAUGAAUUCUAGUUCUUAUUAUGUUGAUAAGAGAUUUCUUUAAAUGUGGUAUUACUAAAUACAAUUAACGUGAUCCAUGUUGAUCC